rnacentral:misc_RNA from 1 species
GGAAAUUUAAAUAUUUUAUAUGUAUUUUUUAAAUUAGCAACCGACUUUUUAGUUGCUAAAUUAAUUACAAAUGGCAGUGAAUGUAAAAAAUGAUUACAAAAUUACAAAAUUAAAGACGCUAAAUAUUUUACAACCGAUUAUAUUUCAACUGCUAUUAGCAACUAAUUUCAGUACACCUACUGUUACUAGCAACCGAUAGUUUUUUAUCAAAAGUUUUUUUUUAAUUUAAUUAAUUUAGUAACUAAUUUAAUUAUUAAUUAUUAUUUAUACCUGAUUUAGUUGUCAGUUGCUAUUUGCAAACAACCUUAUUAAAACUUAUUAAAUCAUUUGCUUAACUGAUUCGAUCGGUUGCUAUUUUUUUUUUUUUUUAAUAGUGAUAGUUCAUGGCAUCAAUAAGGUUAAAUCAACUAGAAAUUUUUUGAUAAAAUUUUUGUGCAUUUUAAAAUUUUGAUCAAUUUUAUUAAAAUUAAAAGAAUUAGAUAAAAUUACCAAGAUAAGGUUUUUUUUCUUUUGGUCAAUAUGCAUAUAUUAAAACCAAUAACUCAUGUCAUAGGAGGAUGCCAAAAAAAUUGCUAAGAUAAAAGUUGCGUUGGGGAUGGCCAUUAGUUCUUAGGACACAAAAGAAAACUCAAUUGAAAAUUAGCUUAUAUAGAAAGGGAGGAAGAGAAGUACCUGCCUCAAGUGCAUGCCUUUGCAAAAGGUGAUGCCUAUUCGGUUCG